UACGGAACUUAUCAUAUUUACUCCGGAAUAAGUUUUAUAAUUACUUAGUCCAUGGGAGAUAAUUUUGAGUGUAAAUUUAUAUCGCUAAAUAUUCUGAAGACGCACAAUCUUCAAAACCCUAAUUUUACUGAAUACUUAAAUAAGUUUGACUUGCAGAAAUUGCAGAAAUGUUUGAAGCCUGGAGACUGAGGUAUUCUUUAUGUAAUGUAGUAAUGUAGCUGUAUUGUGAUUUAAUAUGUUAAUAUUUUGAAUGCUUAGAAUUGAGGUUGAUUCAGAUAGUAAAAAUACAUAUCAUUACUUUAUGUUAUUAGCAAGUCUUGCAUACAACAUUUUAAUUAUUAGAAAUAUAAAGUCCCUUUAUCAAUUUAGAGUUUUAAGUACAUGUACCUCUUUUGAUUAGUAAGUUAACUUGAAUUCAGGAAAAGGUAAUUAUUAAGAAACAAUAUUGAUUUAGUAUUAUGAAUUAUCUGGCAUGUUGAAAGAAAUAUAUUUAGUAAUGCAAUUAAAGAAAAUAUGCGAGUUAAGCUCUUGAGUUAGGUCCACCCCUUUUUAACAUGUUUAAUGAAAUAUAACUAUUGAAAGUUACAGAGUUAAUUCCCCUGAUGAGUUAUUCCCCUUUGAAAUAAGUUGUAUGUGAGACUGUAAAGGUUCAUCAUUGUUUAUUGAUUUAUUGAUGCAUGAUUUAUUUGUAAUUGAUUGUAACUGUUUAUUGAAUAUACAAUGUAGACUUGAUCUUUGGAACCUGAAAAUAAAACAUCAUUUUACAGAACUUCUGUCUAUUUUAGUAACUUGCAGAACAGAAAACAAAAACCCCCCUACAAUCAGCACAACAC
rnacentral:lncRNA from 1 species